GAUGAAGAACGCAGCGAAAUGCGAUACGUAAUGUGAAUUGCAGAAUUCAGUGAAUCAUCGAAUCUUUGAACGCAUAUUGCGCUCUUUGGUAUUCCGAAGAGCAUGCUUGUUUGAGUAUCAGUAAACACCUCAAAGCUUUUGGAUUUUUUAAUCGAAAAGCUUUGGACUUGAGCAAUCCCAACACCAAUCUUUUUGAGAUCGGUGGCGGGUUGCUUGAAAUGCAGGUGCAGCUGGACAUUCUCCUGAGCUAAAAGCAUAUUCAUUUAGUCCAGUCAAACGGAUUAUUACUUUUGCUGCAGCUAACAUAAAGGGAGUUUGACCGUAUUGGCUGACUGAUGCAGGAUUUCACAAGGGUCGGCAACGAUUCUUGUUAAACUCGAUCUCAAAUCAAGUAAGACUACCCGCUGAACUUAAGCAUAUCAAUAAGCGGAGGA
rnacentral:misc_RNA from 1 species